rnacentral:tRNA from 1 species
GGGGAUUUAGCUCAGCGGCAUAAGCGCCUGCCUUGCAAGCAGGCAGUCGUGAGUUCGAUCCUUGGUACCUA